rnacentral:rRNA from 1 species
UCCUGGCUUAGGAUGAACGCUGGCGGCGUGCCUAACACAUGCAAGUCGAGCGAUUACUUCGGUAAAGAGCGGCGGACGGGUGAGUAACGCGUGGGUAACCUGCCUCAUACACAUGGAUAACAUACCGAAAGGUAUGCUAAUACAGGAUAAUAUAAGAGAUUCACAUGGAUUUCUUAUCAAAGCUCCGGCGGUAUGAGAUGGACCCGCGUCUGAUUAGCUAGUUGGUAAGGUAAUGGCUUACCAAGGCGACGAUCAGUAGCCGACCUGAGAGGGUGAUCGGCCACAUUGGAACUGAGACACGGUCCAAACUCCUACGGGAGGCAGCAGUGGGGAAUAUUGCACAAUGGGCGAAAGCCUGAUGCAAGCAACGCCGCGUGAGUGAUGAAGGCCUUCGGGUCGUAAAACUCUGUCCUCAAGGAAGAUAAUGACGGUACUUGAGGAGGAAGCCCCGGCUAACUACGUGCCAGCAGCAGC